AUACUUACCUGGCAGGGGCGAUACCAUGAUCACCAAGGUGGCUUCCCCAGGGUGAGACUCAACCAUUGCACUUUGGGUGUACUGACCUCUGCAAUUUCCCCAAAUAUGGAAAACUCGACUGCGUAAUUUGUGGUUGUGGGGGACUGCGUGUGCACUCUCCCCCA